GUAGGGAAUAUUGGGCAAUGGAUGCAAGUCUGACCCAGCCAUCCCGCGUGCCGGUAGAAGGCCCUCAGGGUUGUAAACGGCUUUUGACGGUGAAGAAUCGACAGGAUGCGUCCUGUUUUGACGGUAGCCGUUGAAUAAGCACCGGCUAACUCCGUGCCAGCAGCCGCGGUAAUACGGAGGGUGCGAGCGUUGUCCGGAUUUAUUGGGUUUAAAGGUUGCGUAGGCUGGAAGGUCAGUCAGCGGUGAAAAGCUGUCGCUUAACGAUAGUCUUGCCGCAGAUACUUCCUUUCGUGGAUGAGGAGGAGGCCACUGGAACGGAUGGUGUAGCGGUGAAAUGCAUAGAUAUCAUCCAGAACACCGAUUGCGAAGGCAGGUGGCUGUACCUUAAUCGACGCUGAUGCACGAAAGCAUGGGGAGCAAACAGGAUUAGAUACCCCGGUAGUCC
rnacentral:rRNA from 1 species